rnacentral:rRNA from 1 species
AACGAACGCUGGCGGCAUGCCUAACACAUGCAAGUCGAACGAGACCUUCGGGUCUAGUGGCGCACGGGUGCGUAACGCGUGGGAACCUGCCCUUAGGUUCGGAAUAACUCCCCGAAAGGGGUGCUAAUACCGGAUAAUGUCUUCGGACCAAAGAUUUAUCGCCUUUGGAUGGGCCCGCGUUGGCUUAGCUAGUUGGUAGGGUAAAAGCCUACCAAGGCGACGAUCCAUAGCUGGUCUGAGAGGAUGAUCAGCCACACUGGGACUGAGACACGGCCCAGACUCCUACGGGAGGCAGCAGUGGGGAAUAUUGGACAAUGGGCGAAAUGCUGAUCCAGCAAUGCCGCGUGAGUGAUGAAGGCCUUAGGGUUGUAAAGCUCGUUUACCCGGGAUGAUAAUGACAGUACCGGGAGAAUAAGCUCCGGCUAACUCCGUG